UAAAGUCCUUUGUGAAAGAAUGAUUUUGAUUUGGGUUCUACUAUGCAUGAUUGAAAUGUGGUAUGAUGAGAUUGAUUUUGUUAUGUGAAGCUAUGAUCAUAUGCUAGGGUUAUCAGCCCUUAUAAAUAGGCGGACGCGCUUAUUUGUGUGAUGGGGGUGGCGCUUUCAUAGGCCACGAUUGUGUGAUGGGGGUGGCGCUAACAUAGGCUACGAUCAAAUCUGCUUAUGUUCAUUCU
rnacentral:lncRNA from 1 species